GUCGGCGCAUAAUAGCAGAACAGAACACGCUAAGAAAAAUUCAAAAAACCAAUUUAACCGCACAAACCCUAACCCUAGCCCCAUCUUCAACCCCUUCUUCUAUAUAAAUAAUCCAAAGCCCAAAUCACCAUUGUCAAUUCUCCUCUCCUCUGUUUCCUUUCCUCAAGGGAAAGCUACUCCUUUACCUUGGCUAUCGGAAACCUUCCCCUGUUUCUUCCUUAUCAGCGAAAUAGAUCACCCAAAGAAACCAGACCUUUUUGUUGUCUUUGUGAAUGGUGGAAAUCUUAAGCAGUAGUAAUUACAUGCUCUCCCUUUGCCAAUCAAGGGCGGGCGUUGUCUCUGCUGCCUCCGCUUUCGCUUUUGGAUCUUGCAAGGAAGGCUGGUACUAUCGCUGCCUCGGCGUCGACCCCUGAACUCGCCAAUCCAUAUCGAAUUUCAGUGUUUUACAGAUUUUCUUUUCGAUAAAUUAAAAAAGAAAGAAUCCAAAUUCUCUGUUUUUAACCAUUGUUUGAUCUUCAUUGAGAUCUUCUUUUAUUUGUUUAUUUUUUUUUUCGAUUUGCUUGCAAAAACCAAAAAUGUUGCUUUACAAACCCAAGAAGAAUCUUCCGGCUAAGGGCAACAGGCUCUUAAUUAGUGUGACGGUAUUGGGGAGUGCGGGACCGAUCCGAUUUGUGGUGAAUGAGGAGGAGCUCGUCGCUACUGUUAUUGAUACUGCGCUCAAGUCUUAUGCGCGUGAGGGUCGGCUUCCGGUCCUUGGCUCUAAUCUCAACGAUUUCUUUCUUUAUUGUUCCAAUGCUGGGUCAGAUGGUAAGCAAAUUCUGAACCCUCUUGUAGUUUGUUUUCCCUUUUUUUUUUUCAAAUUUGAGACUGUCAAUUUUUUAAUCAGAAUCCCCACAAAAAUUGGAACUUUUUUAGAUUACGUUGUAAUUUAGUUGUUCUUAUGAUUUUUGGUUAUGUUUGUUGUGGGGUGUUGAAAACCUCUCUGAACUGGAUUGUAAAUUUUGAUAAUUGGAACUACAAUAAUAUUGGGAUUAUAACAUUUUUGUUGAAUUCUAUUGCAGCUCUGAGCCCAUGGGAAACAAUAGGAUCACUGGGCUCUCGCAAUUUUAUGCUAUGCAAGAAGCCACAGCCGGUGAAGGUGGACAGUGAUGCAAGAUCAAAUUCAGCAAUUGCUAAGGGGAGUGGGAGUUGGAAAUCAUGGAUUAACAAGUCCCUUAAUCUUAAGAUCUCUUCUCAUUAGUUGAGUUUCAAGUGAUGGAAGAUACCACCUCAUUAUCAAUUUCCGACAAAUGGAAUUAUUUAUCCCGUUACUUUAUUUUUUAAUUUUAGUGAAUUGUAGGGUUGAAUUUGGUCAUCUUGGUUAUGUUUGCUUGGCUAUUAUCAGAUCGCUGUUCUGGCUUGACUCAGAAACCUGAAGAGUUGGUAUUCAGGGAAUAAAUUUGUAUUCUGAGAGGUUUUGCUUUGGAAUAAAAAAGGCUUAUUUUUUUGUUGUCUUAA
rnacentral:misc_RNA from 1 species